CAAGUGAUCCUAAUCUGGAGGCUGGGAGAUACAAGUUUCUGAUCUGGAUCUUGGCAUGGAGAUCUUGAGGCAUAGCGGCUAUGAAUUCCAUAAGAUUAAGACACGGAGACCUCUGAGUUCAAGGUCAUCUGGGACUAAAGUCAUGGUGGCAUAUAACUUUAAUCUAGGCUACACCUUCUGCUGGAGACCUACAUAAGGACAUUGAAAUAAGGAAGAUUGACACCCUUUCUCUCCUUCACCUGCUUGCCUUGGACUGGUAGAUCCUUGGACUUCCAUUCACAGCUGCUGCUGACCAUUGUUGUUGGGAGUUGGACUGCAGACUGCAAACAGGAGAAGACUGUCUCAUGGGCAGCGAGGAGGAGGGUCCCAAAGCCCACCCACCCAGUGACACACUUUCUCCAACAAGACCACAACUACUCCAACAAGGCCACACCUCCAAGUAGUACCACUCCCUGGGCCAAGCAUAUUCAAACCACCACGUCAUCCUAUAGAAACUCCUAUAACACUCUUACACGCGUUCUCGCGACCGGCCAGGAAGAACACAACAAACCGGAAUGUUCUGCGGCAAAAGCUUUAUUGCUUACAUCUUCAGGAGCCAGAGAGCAAGAGAGCAAGAGUGCAAGAGUGCAAGAGCUCUAUUGCUUACAUCUUUAGGAGCCAGAGCGCAAGAGAGCAAGAGAGCAAGCAAGAGCGCAAGAGAGAGAAUGGUGAAACCCCAUCCCUUUUUAAGGAGAAUUAUCCUUCGCCUAGGACGUGUCACUCCCUGAUUGGCUGCAGCCCAUCGGCCGAGUUGUCGUCACGGGGAAGGCAGAGCACAUGGAGUGGAGAACUACCCUUGGCACAUGCGCAGAUUAUUUGUUUACCACUUAGAACACAGGAUGUCAGCGCCAUCUUGUAACGGCGAAUGUGAGGGUGGCUCCCCACAAGACACAAGUGGUUGAUUAUUGAGAGCAGUCACUGCAAAACAAAACAAAACAACAACAACAACAACAACAACAAACAAACAAAAAAGUUCUUUUAAAUAGAGGAAUAGUAAAAAGUUAAAUUGAAACCUCUUUUGUAAGUUUAUCUGUUGGUGUGAAGUCUGUCAGCAAAAUAAACUGUCUGUACCUGCAUUUCUCAGCAGGAGACCUCCUCACUCUAGAAAAGUGAGGCCUAAUUUAAUACAGAAAAAGAACAGACCAGAAAGCUGCAGCCAGGGGAAGAUUUUAAGCUGAAUAUGGUAGUGUACACCUUUAAUCCCAGCACUCGGAAGACAGAGGCAGACCCCUCUGAGUUCAAGGGCAGGUCUACCAAGCA